ACAGAGGGUGCGAGCGUUAAUCGGAAUUACUGGGCGUAAAGAGCGCGUAGGCGGUCGUGUAAGUCAGAUGUGAAAGACCUUGGCUCAACCAGGGAACUGCAUUUGAUACUGCAUAACUAGAGUAUGGUAGAGGAAAGUGGAAUUUCCGGUGUAGCGGUGAAAUGCGUAGAUACCGGAAGGAACACCAGUGGCGAAGGCGACUUUCUGGACCAAUACUGACGCUGAGACGCGAAAGCGUGGGGAGCAAACAG
rnacentral:rRNA from 1 species